AGGUGAUCGGAGCAUAAUUAUGCGAUAAUAAUGUUGAUUUGCCAAAGCAAGGAAAGAAAUAUGAGCAAAAGGAAGGAGAUAUGUGCAAAUAAUGGAGAAGUGUGGAAUCUUGAUGAGUCAAGGAAGCAUACGGCAACAUGAAGAAAAAGAUAUUCAGCAAUUAAUUCUCUUGGCUGCUCUUAUUGGAUAGAAGGAUGUCAAUGAAUCCAAAAUCAAUCAGAACAUUAAUAAAGGAGCCUUCCGUGGAAGCCAAGGAAUUAGAGUCCCAAAAGGAAAGAAGAAAAGAGUUACAAACUGAAUAAAAUCUCUCCUUGGACGUUCAAGAAACCUACCAUCACACAUACGGAAGAGGAGAGACGCACAAGAGCUGAAGAAGAAGAAGGAUUGCAACCAUCACCGAAAACGAUCGAUCGCUGCCUGCCGACGAUCGAUCGCCGAUCAGCUUUUUCCUAUUUCUUGGUUUUUGUUGUCUUCUUUCUCCAUGAACUCAACUGUGUUUUUGAUUUCCAUUAUGUGUAACUAAAUUUCCAGUAGCUAGGGGGCAGUUGAAGCCCUAGACAUGAUCCACAACAUGCUUUGACAUUCAAUUUGUUUUCCAAUUAAUAAAGUUGAGGUUUAGUUUACCGAUUUCU